rnacentral:rRNA from 1 species
AUUGAACGCUGGCGGCAUGCUUUACACAUGCAAGUCGAACGGCAGCGGGGUAGUGCUUGCACUACUGUCCGGCGAGUGGCGAACGGGUGAGUAAUAUAUCGGAACGUACCGAGUAAUGGGGGAUAACCAAUCGAAAGAUUGGCUAAUACCGCAUACGUCCUAAGGGAGAAAGCGGGGGAUCGCAAGACCUCGCGUUAUUCGAGCGGCUGAUAACUGAUUAGCUAGUUGGUGGGGUAAAGGCCUACCAAGGCGACGAUCAGUAGCGGGUCUGAGAGGACGAUCCGCCACACUGGGACUGAGACACGGCCCAGACUCCUACGGGAGGCAGCAGUGGGGAAUUUUGGACAAUGGGGGCAACCCUGAUCCAGCCAUGCCGCGUGUAUGAAGAAGGCCUUCGGGUUGUAAAGUACUUUUGUUAGGGAAGAAAAGGGAAGUGCUAAUACCACUUUUUGCNGACG